rnacentral:misc_RNA from 1 species
UUUCCGUAGGUUAACCUACGGAAGGAUCAUUAUCCAUCUAAAACCAGGUGCGGUCGCGGCCUCCGGGUGAAAACCUGGGUGGUUUCGCGCCGCAUUCCUGCACCCUUUUUUUACGAGCACCUUUCGUUCUCCUUCGGCGGGGCAACCUGCCGCUGGAACUUAACAAAACCUUUUCUUGCAUCUAGCAUUACCUGUUCUGAUACAAACAAUCGUUACAACUUUCAACAAUGGAUCUCUUGGCUCUGGCAUCGAUGAAGAACGCAGC